ACCAAGACCCUUGCCUUCUGCAGCCCACUCUCCACACAGCAGGUUGAGGGCCCUGUGGACACACAUCAGAUCACUCUUACUGAAAACACUCCAGAGGCUUCCGCUGUUCUCUAUGCCUGGGACACUCAUCCCUCAGAUCUUGCCACGGACACCUCAUCUUCAUUCAAUCUUUUUUUUUUUUCCAAAACAGAGUCUUGCUCUGUUGCCCAGGCUGGAGUGCAGUGGCGUGAUCUUGGCACACUGCAACCUCCACCUACCUGGUACAAGCAAUUCUCCUGCCUCAGCCUCCCAGGUAGCUGGGAUUACAGGCACCUGCCACCAUACCCAGCUAAUUUUUUGUAUUUUUGGUAGAGACAGGGUUUCACUGUGUUGGCCAAGCUGGUCUUGAACUCCUGACCUCGUGAUCUGCCUGUCUUGGCCUCCCAAAAUGCUGGAAUUACAGGCAUGAGCCACUGUGCCUGGCUUCAUCAUUCAGUCUUUGUUCA
rnacentral:lncRNA from 1 species